UAGGUGAUGGCCGGAAGAACAUGGCAGAGAGCAAAACAAAACAGCAUUGGGAACAAGCUCUGUUUAAAAGGAGACUUGUGAACAGCAAAGAGUAGAAAGGGUUCUCUUACAACUGAAGCCCAUGGAAGACAAAUGUGUACUGCGUAUUAUGAGAUUCUGGAAUUUCCCCAAACCACAUUGAUUGCUGGGAGAAUAAAAGAAGUGGAUUACAAGUGGAACUUAGAAGGGGAGUAUUCGAGAAGACGUCUCUGCAAAUCCAUUUAGAGAGACCUUUCUCCAGUGGUGACUCAAAGAUGCAGCUCCUUUCAUCCUGUGGCUUGGCCAUCUUCAGCACAUGGCUCCCAAGGAUGUCCUCAGGAUGGUCUCUAAUCCAAGGAGCCUGAAGAGAAAAAAAGGCAUGGAGUAUUGUGAGUGGUAGGUGGUUAUGGACCAGUUAUGGAAGAAUACACAUCACUUUUGCCCACCUUCUACUAACCAGAACUCACACAGCCAUAGACACUGACAAGUAGGACUUAACAAGAAUCUAAUUUUGAGUCUAGGAAUACGACUGUAGCAAAUAUUUAACAGCUUCAAACACAGGUGCAUUGCUAUCACUAUGCCUGGCCCAGGCCUGUCUCCCUUUCCGGCCAUGUCACAGGGGCCAGCAUUUAUGUCUAGAUUGGGUUGGUUGGGAUAUUAAGACAAUAAUGAACCAAUACAACAUCUUGAGCAUAAAACCAGCUGAUACAAUGAUGUACAAGUCAGAUGAUUCUGAUGAUUAUGAAUUAUGUCAAUAAAAGAAAUGUGAUAACUAAGGUAA